UGGGGAAUUUUGGACAAUGGGGGAAACCCUGAUCCAGCCAUCCCGCGUGUGCGAUGAAGGCCUUCGGGUUGUAAAGCACUUUUGGCAGGAAAGAAACGUCGCGGGUUAAUACCCCGCGGAACUGACGGUACCUGCAGAAUAAGCACCGGCUAACUACGUGCCAGCAGCCGCGGUAAUACGUAGGGUGCAAGCGUUAAUCGGAAUUACUGGGCGUAAAGCGUGCGCAGGCGGUUCGGAAAGAAAGAUGUGAAAUCCCAGAGCUUAACUUUGGAACUGCAUUUUUAACUACCGGGCUAGAGUGUGUCAGAGGGAGGUGGAAUUCCGCGUGUAGCAGUGAAAUGCGUAGAUAUGCGGAGGAACACCGAUGGCGAAGGCAGCCUCCUGGGAUAACACUGACGCUCAUGCACGAAAGCGUGGGGAGCAAACAGGAUUAGAUACCCUGGUAGUCCACGCCCUAAACGAUGUCAACUAGCUGUUGGGGUCUUCGGACCUUGGUAGCGCAGCUAACGCGUGAAGUUGACCGCCUGGGGAGUACGGUCGCAAGAUUAAAACUCAAAUG
rnacentral:rRNA from 1 species